CAGUCGCCACGGGAAUACGAAGGGGGCUAGCGUUGUUCGGAAUUACUGGGCGUAAAGGGCGCGUAGGCGGCCAUUCAAGUUAGAUGUGAAAGCCCUGGGCUCAACCUAGGAAUUGCAUUUGAUACUGUUUGGCUUGAGUUCGGGAGAGGUGAGUGGAAUUCCCAGUGUAGAGGUGAAAUCCGUAGAUAUUGGGAAGAACACCAGUGGCGAAGGCGGCUCACUGGACCGACACUGACGCUGAGGCGCGAAAGCGUGGGGAGCAAACAGGAUUAGAUACCCGGGUAGUCCCUGUCUCUUAUAC
rnacentral:rRNA from 1 species